rnacentral:rRNA from 1 species
UUCGCAAUGCCCGAAAGGGUGACGAAGCGACGCCGCGUGGGUGAGGAAGGCCUUCGGGUUGUAAAGCCCUGUCAGGAGUUAAGAAAUGUAGACUCGCUAAUAUCGGGUCUAUUUGACAAAGGCUCCAAAGGAAGCCACGGCUAACUCUGUGCCAGCAGCCGCGGUAAUACAGAGGUGGCAAGCGUUGUUCGGAAUUAUUGGGCGUAAAGAGCACGUAGGUGGAUUUGUAAGUCAGACGUGAAAGCCUUCUGUUCAACGGAAGAAUUGCAUCUGAAACUACAAACCUUGAGUGUAGGAGGGGAGAAUGGAACUUCUGGUGGAGCGGUGAAAUGCGUAGAUAUCAGAAGGAACGCCGGCGGCGAAAGCGAUUCUCUGGCCUAUUACUGACACUCAGUGUGCGAAAGCUAGGGGAGCAAACGGGAUUAGAUACCCCGGUAGCCCUAGCCGUAAACGAUGGGCACUAAGUAGAGGGGUUUU